UUAGUCCCUACCAUUACUGCACAGACAUAUAUAUAGACAAACAUCGUUUGUCCCUUUUGUCCUGACAAUCUCCCUUAGUGGCUCACGGGCAUCAUCUCCUUCGAAGAAGAAGAAGAUAGGCUACCGUCAUCGCCUCUCCGUGGCAUACCAUCAUCGCCGGUCGGGACUCAUGUAGAGGAACUCCACCUCCUCUAAUCUCUCUGCACCGUGUGUCGGAGAUUCUGGCGCACGUCAGCAGAACCCCAGAUGAAAGAAAUUAUUCGCGGUUCUACCAUACUGCACGUGAAGCAUGUCGCCACAGAAGUAGACUGACACGCCUUAAGUGACGGCCUCGUUGUAGAAUGCAUCUUUAUCUCUACCUGAUAUCUUCUUUUAUAAAGCACUACUGAAGACAUGUACUCACGGCUCUUCACGAGAUACUGCCCCUGUACGAGGACGGCGCUGACAACGAGAAGAAAAGUGCAGAGAAAUAUCUGUGCUUGCAUGGCUGUAGACGACUGGAUACCUUCGAUGAAGAACGGUGAUAUUGACCGGUUGUCCGCCGGGUUUUAUACGGCAUACCACGGCGGAAACGUUAAACGUAUGGGAGCGAAAAGUUCUGCUAAUCUGAAUGCGAUACAAUUGCGUUUUAAUGGUUUUUCUCCGAACUCUACGUGUGGGCAAAUUAAUGUCAAAUUAACAUACGUCGUUUCCUUUGAACAACAAAUUUUGUAAUUCUGAUGAAAAAUGAGACCAUUGUUUUGUUUUGAGCUGAUGAGUUCGUGGACGCUCCAGUUCUUGACGUCUACCAGCAGUGUAUCAACGUUACGCGUAAUAACAGGUUACCGGGUUUAUUAAAUCGCACAAUUCCU